UCUGUGAUUCUCUGUGUAAG
rnacentral:snRNA from 1 species